rnacentral:lncRNA from 1 species
UGUAAAUCCUAUGGUGCAUGCAGAAAUGACACCACACAAACUUGCAGAUGCAUAAAUGGACUUCCUCCUAAUCAGUUCUGUGAACCAAUCACAAAUACCAGUCUAUGUGUGACCCCAACAACUGUCCUGGACUUUGAGUUAGUCAUUGACUUGCGCUUCCCAGUUUCCAGUGCACCAUCAAAUAUCAUUGAUCAAUUCAGGAGCAAGCUGAGAAAUUUUACCUUCCCCCACUACAUCACUCAGUCUUUG